UUCUCUCAUACAUGCCCAACUAAGCUGAGAAGUGAGAAGUUCAAGCCGGCUAAGAGUAGGUGGGUUGCUGAUGUUAUCCUAGAUUGGGUCAGAAAGAACCCAGACAUUGGCCCUACUGCUCUUCAAGAGAAGAUCGAGGAGAAGUAUCACUUCACGGUGCCGUACAUGCGUGUAUCUCGUGGUAAGGAGAAAGCAGUGGAUAUGAUUAGUGGAAAAUGGAAAGAUAGCUUCCAUCUUGUCUAUAGUUUCAAGGCUGAGGUGGAGAAGUGUUCUCCUGGUAGUGUAGUGGAAAUAGACAAAGAGACUGUGAAGUACUCAAUCAAAGGAAAAGUCAGGGAGAAGGAAUGCUUUAGGAGAGUGUUCGUUUCAUUCAAGGCAUGUUGGCAAGGGUUUUUAGAUGGGUGUCGACCAUACUUGGCCGUGGAUUCAACUGCACUAAAC
rnacentral:rRNA from 1 species